CCUACGGGAGGCAGCAGUGGGGGAUAUUGCACAAUGGGGGAAACCCUGAUGCAGCGACGCCGCGUGGGCGAAGAAGUAUUUCGGUAUGUAAAGCCCUAUCAGCAGGGAAGAAGAAAUGACGGUACCUGAGUAAGAAGCACCGGCUAAAUACGUGCCAGCAGCCGCGGUAAUACGUAUGGUGCAAGCGUUAUCCGGAUUUACUGGGUGUAAAGGGAGCGCAGGCGGCACGGCAAGCCGGAUGUGAAAGCCCGCGGCCCAACCGCGGGACUGCAUUGGGAACUACCGGGCUGGAGGGCCGGAGAGGUAGGCGGAAGUCCUAGUGUAGCGGUGAAAGGCGUAGAUAGUAGGAGGAACACCAGUGGCGAAGGCGGCCUACUGGACGGUGACUGACGCUGAGGCUCGAAAGCGUGGGGAGCAAACAGGAUUAGAUACCCGGGUAGUC
rnacentral:rRNA from 1 species